AGAGUUUGAUCCUGGCUCAGAACGAACGUUGGCGGCGUGGAUUAGGCAUGCAAGUCGUGCGAGAAAGGGGCUUCGGCCCUGAGUACAGCGGCGAACGGGUGAGUAUCGCGUGGGAAACCUGCCUUCGAGUGGGGGAUAACACUCCUAACGGGGUGCUAAUACCGCAUGACACGCUUGGAUCGCAUGGUCCGAGUGUCAAAGGUGGCCUCUACUUGUAAGCUACCGCUUGAAGAUGGUCCCGCGUCCGAUUAGCUAGUUGGCGGGGUAACGGCCCACCAAGGCGACGAUCGGUAGCUGGUCUGAGAGGAUGGUCAGCCACACUGGGACUGAGAUACGGCCCAGACUCCUACGGGAGGCAGCAGUCGAGAGGCUUCGGCAAUGGGGGCAACCCUGACCGAGCGACGCCGCGUGAGGGAUGAAGCUCUUCGGGGUGUAAACCUCUUUUCUGGGGGAAGAAACCUAUGGGGUCGAAUAGGCCUCAUGGCUGACGGUACCCCAGGAAUAAGCUCCGGCUAACUCCGUGCCAGCAGCCGCGGUAAUACGGGGGGAGCAAACGUUGUUCGGAAUCACUGGGCGUAAAGGGCGCGUAGGCGGCCCGGUAAGUGGUGUGUGAAAUGCCCUGGCUCAACCAGGGAACUGCGCUCCAAACUGCCGGGCUUGAGGUCAGUAGAGGAAGCUGGAAUUCCAGGUGUAGCGGUGAAAUGCGUAGAUAUCUGGAGGAACACCGUUGGCGAAGGCGAGCUUCUGGGCUGUACCUGACGCUGAGGCGCGAAAGCUGGGGGAGCAAACAGGAUUAGAUACCCUGGUAGUCC
rnacentral:rRNA from 1 species